AUGGUGUCCCGCGCUGGGUUCGCCUCCCUCCUCGGCGCCUCCUUCCUCCUGCUCCUCCUGCGCAGCGCCGAGCCGCUCGGGUUCAACCACCGCCCGACGACCGCCGGCGACGAGCUCUCGGCCGCCCCGAGCAGAUACCUGACGCGGGAGGAGCGCUGGAUGAGCCAGCGCCUGGACCACUUCUCCCCCACCGACCAUCGCCAAUUCAAGCAGCGCUACUUCGAGUUCCUGGACUACCACGACGACCCCACCGGCCCGGUGUUCCUGCGCAUCUGCGGCGAGUCCUCCUGCGACGGCCUCCCCAACGACUACCUGGCCGUCAUCGCCAAGAAGUUCGGCGCCGCGGUGGUGACGCCGGAGCACCGGUACUACGGCAAGAGCUCCCCGUUCGACAGCCUCACCACCGACAACCUCAGGUUCCUCUCGUCCAAGCAGGCGCUCUUCGACCUCGCCGUCUUCCGCCAGUAUUACCAGGAAAAACUGAAUUCUCAGUACAACCGGAGCGCGGGGUUCGACAAUCCGUGGUUCGUCUUCGGGGUCUCCUACUCCGGGGCUCUCAGCGCAUGGUUCAGGCUCAAGUUCCCACACCUGACAUGCGGAAGCCUCGCGAGCUCCGGGGUGGUUCUUGCUGUGUACAACUUCACUGAUUUCGACAAGCAGGUCGGAGUUUCGGCUGGCCCUGAGUGCAAAGCUGCCCUCCAGGAAAUAACUAGACUUGUCGACGAACAGCUUCGGUCGGAUAGCCACUCGGUGAAGGCCUUGUUCGGAGCGGACUCGUUGAAAAAUGACGGUGACUUCCUCUUUCUACUGGCAGAUGCAGCAGCCACAACAUUCCAGUAUGGGAAUCCUGAUGCCUUGUGCUCUCCUCUAGCAAAUGCGAAGAAAAAGGGGGAAAGUUUGGUGGAAACAUAUGCUCACUUUGUGAAAGAUUACUUUGUUAAAAAAUUGGGGACUACAGUAUCUUCUUAUGAUCAAGAGUAUUUGAAGGAGACAACUCCCGAUGAUUCUAGUUCUAGGCUUUGGUGGUUCCAAGUUUGCAGUGAAGUUGCCUAUUUUCAAGUCGCACCCAAAAAUGAUAGUGUUCGUUCUGCGCAGGUCAAUACAAGGUACAAUUUGGACCUGUGUAAAAAUGUUUAUGGAGAAGGAGUUUAUCCUGAUGUGUUCAUGACAAACUUAUAUUAUGGAGGCACAAGUAUUGCCGCUUCUAAAAUUGUGUUUACAAAUGGCUCUCAAGAUCCAUGGCGUCAUGCCUCCAAACAGAAGUCAUCGGAAGACAUGCCAUCAUACAUAAUCAAAUGUAGCAACUGCGGACAUGGCACUGAUUUGAGAGGAUGUCCCCAGCUUCCUUUCAGGAUUGAAGGUGACUCUUCAAACUGCACGUCCCCAGAAGCUGUGAACAUAGUAAGGAAGCAGAUCGUCAAGAACAUCGACCUGUGGCUAUCACAAUGCCAUGAACCAACAAGGACGUGGUGA
rnacentral:rRNA from 1 species